GCCUGACAUGAACUUCUAGAUACUUGCUUUAAAAAAAAAAAAUAGUUAUCUAUUGCCGUUUAGUCUAUAUACCAUAUCUGGGAACAUUUAGGGUUUUUAUUCCAGUCUCAGAAUUUAGGGUUUUUAUUCCAGUCUCAGAAUGAAUAGCACACUCUCAAGGUUAUAGAAUAGCAUGUUGGAUAAAACUUGUAUGUUCUAUUAUUGUAUAGCUUCCAUUAGGAGAAUUCUAAUAAGCGAUGUGUUCACAUUGUAUGCCCACUUGUUGAUUUAAAUGUAUUUAAUAGAUCAUGGUUAUUAUUUUCAGUAACUUUAAAGUAUAUCUGUAGUUUUGACAAAAAGAAUGAGCUGAAUAGAAUAUUACCACACCUGUUUUGAACCCCUGCAUGGUAACAUUUGGUAAAUAUUUCAAUGAUUGCUAAUGAAGUUAGGUGUGCACUAAGACAUCUGUGCCAUAAAUGAAUGCACACAUAAAUGCAUUACAUAGAUAAUCAUGUACAUGAUUAUUACUGGUGACAAAGCAGGAAUGUGAAAAGUUUUUUUUCUUUGUUUUUUUAAAGAGUUUGAAAAUGCAGACCUUUUUUUUGUUUAUCACUUUAAUCUUGAUGAUAGACAUCAAAACGAUACACUGUAACAUAUCACAGAAUUUAUAAAGCACAGUAUAAAGGGUGUUAGCUCUUCUAAAACGUUUAAUGGCAGCUUCUGUUCUCUCUAUCCUUGCUCUCACAAAGACCUUCCUCUGUUUAGCUUAAGUACCCUUGUCUGAUCCUGUUCUUGAGGACAAACUGCCAAUUGGACCAUCUGCCAUUUCACACGCUGACCUACCAGUACAGAUAUUCUUUUUUUUUUUUUUUUACACCAAAGAAAAGAAAAGGAAAAAAAUACAUAUAGAUACAUCGAAUAUAAAAAAUAAAUAAAUCUUAUAAUACCGUGCAGUAAUAAAAAAAAUGCAUGUUUUGGGGACGCCCUCUAAUCUAUCAACCCUAACUGAGUCAAGAGGUUCCCACAUGAAAGUUUCUUUCACUCUGUCCCACUGUCCCCAUACCUUAUCAUGUUUCUGGAAUGUGCCCAUCAACAAUUCAGGCAUGCUCAAAAUUUCUAUUACUUUAGCUAGCAUAGGUAAAUUAGUGGUCCUCCACUGCCUUGCAAUACACAGUUUUGUGAAACCAAUACAUGCAUGACCAUGGCACUAGAGACCUUUUGCCUGUCCAAAAUAAAUAUCUCUGCAUCCAAAGGUAAAGUGACAUUAGUUAAAGUAUUUAUCAGCAAUUAAAUAUUUAGCCAAAACUAUGUUAAUCGAAAGAAUAACCAAAAUACAUGAAUGAUGUAUCCAUGGUCUUUCUGGCACCACUGACAUGUAGGCAGAGACAAUGAGAACAUCUCAGCUAAUUUAUGCAGCACCAAGAACAACUACAUCAAUAGUUUGCAAUUUUUCUCCCCAUGGGGAAGUCUCAGAGGCCCUCCACACAUCUGGGAUACCGCUUUCCACCAUUGAUCCACAGAAAAAUCCUUAAGUCUAAUUUCAGUUUAACCAUAUAUUGUAACUUGUCUUUGGUUGUUCAGACAUAAUUAGCAUAGUUCCAGUGAUUUAACGUUACACUUAAUCCCUAAACAUAGCUUAUGAAGAGCAUAGGGGAAUCUAACAUAAUUAAACCGUUUACGUUUAAUAUCUCUUUGAUUCUCAGACACAAAAACAAUUCUGUGUUAGGAAGAGAAAAUUACACUUGAAUAUCUGAAAAGUGUUUAAUUGCCACCAGACCUAAAAGCUGCUUUUUAAAGUAACUCCUGUUUUUAUCCAUUUUUACAUAGAGAGAUCAUAAGUAAAUAAUUUCAAGACACAUAUUGGUGCAUAGAAGAGCUUAAAGGAUCACUAUAGGGUCAGGAACACAAACAUGUAUUCUUGACCCUAUAGUGUUAAAACCACCAUCUAGCCCCCCUGGGCCCCUGAUGCCUCCAUAUAUAGAGCAAAAUAUUACUGUAUACAAGCCUGAAGUUGUAGAUCUGCAUGAUGGUUGCCUCAGAAAAUCAAGCUGUCUGUGAAUAUAUGUGUGUCUGUAAGUACGUUUGUGAGUGUGUCUAUCUGUAUGUGUGUCUGUAUGUAAGUGUGUGUGUGUCUACAUGUCUGUGUGUAUAUAUGUGUGUGUGUAUGUAUGUGUGUCAGCAUGUACGUGCCUCUGUGUGUGUGUGUAUGUAUGUGUGUCAGCAUGUACGUGCCUCUGUGUGUGUGUGUGUGUGCGUGUGUCUGUAUGUAUGGGUCUCUGUUUGUAUGUGUGUGUGUUUGUAUCUAUGUGUGUGUUUGUGUGUAUGUGUGUCUGUAUGUAUGUGUGUUUGUAUGUGUGUCU